UACGGAGGGUGCAAGCGUUAAUCGGAAUUACUGGGCGUAAAGGGUGCGUAGGUGGUUUGAUAAGUUAUCUGUGAAAGCCCUGGGCUCAACCUGGGAAGGCCAGAUAAGACUGUUAGACUUGAGUAUGGGAGAGGGUAGUGGAAUUUCCGGUGUAGCGGUGAAAUGCGUAGAUAUCGGGAGGAACACCUGUGGCGAAAGCGGCGCACUGGACCAUAACUGACGCUGAUGCGCGAAAGCUAGGGGAGCAAACAGG
rnacentral:rRNA from 1 species